UACGUAGGGUGCAAGCGUUGUCCGGAAUUAUUGGGCGUAAAGAGCUCGUAGGCGGUUUGUCGCGUCUGCUGUGAAAACUCAGGGCUUAACCCUAAGCCUGCAGUGGGUACGGGCAGACUAGAGUGUGGUAGGGGAGAUCGGAAUUCCUGGUGUAGCGGUGGAAUGCGCAGAUAUCAGGAGGAACACCGGUGGCGAAGGCGGGUCUCUGGGCAACAACUGACGCUGAGGAGCGAAAGCGUGGGGAGCGAACAGG
rnacentral:rRNA from 1 species